AGUGGUGGUGGCUUUUGCUUCCCUCUUGCAGAUGGUCUUUCUGACAGGAGCAGGGAUGUCUGAGUGCCUGGCUGGAGCUGUGCUGCCCACCUGGCCUUGGGGCAGCACCCAGUGCCUGCCCUGCUCAGGACCUUGCCAGGAGCAGAGCUGCUGCCGUUGUGUGGCAACUUGCCCAGUGAAAAGUAGCAGAAUUGACUGUGCAAUUGUUAAUGAAAAUCACAGGCAGGAAGUUGUAGCCAAGGCCUGUAAUUGCACUAAUUGGUGGCAUCCUCAUGAAUGUGCCAAGAGCCAUUCUCCUGAUCUCAGCCUAGUAAUUCUUCUCAUGUCGUGUUUCAGCAUCUCCUGUGUGAGGCAGAGCCACCUGCCUGGUGGACAUCAUCAGUAUGGAAGUUGCUGUAGAUCUGCUCCUUUGUUUUCAGAUGUUGAAAGUUUUCAGUGGAGAAGGUGUUGGAGUUGGUGCCGGGUAUUGCAGCAUUGCAUUCUUCAUCUAUGAGAUGAGAUGGAUCAGCCCAGGCCAAGCAGGAACCUCGUGGACUCUCUCAUUGGGCACCACUGCCAAGAGCCUGGUUCUGUUUUCUCAGGUAGCUUCUGUGUGGUACUGGUUGCUGUGAUGGCCCCCGAAGCCAUCUAUCUCAUUCCCAGGCUGAACAAACCCGGCUCCCUGUGCUUUUCCUUCCAAGAGCAUAUAUUCCAAUCCCUGUAUUACCGUGCUGGCUCUCUACUGAACUCAAUCCAGUUUGUCCAUGUCUUUUCCUGUACUGGGGGGAAGCUAGAUACAGUAUUCUUCAUAGAGUUUACAAAAUAUGGGUACAGAUGGAUAAUCAUUUCCCUUGACCUAUCUCCUGCUGUGUAGCUAGCAGUUAGGAUGCCAUUACAUGCUACUGGCUCAUGUUUAAUGUCUUGUUUACUGAGAUUUCCUGGUUCUCUUCAUGAGAGGAGCAGGAGAGCCAGGGGUGGUCCUGGAGGCACUUGAACAGAGCCCUAGGCUGCCCUGUUAGGUAUUUCAGGCUGCUGUCAUGGCACAGAUACCACAGGGACAUUCCCUUUGCUAGUGUGAGUUUAAAAACAGUGUGGUUUUGAAGGAUUUGACUUGCAAAACUGUUAAGAUGGUCAGGCCUGAAAGAGGAGAGAUGGGCAAGACCACAUGGCGAACUGCUGCCUCUGCACUGGCAUGGCUGACAGUUGUCCAGGUUCUGAGACAGGAGCAGGUUGGCCUUGCUAAUAAGCUCUGCAGGCAGGGUCUACUCCCAGGUCUCUAAAGCAUCCAGAUCCUCAACCUUUUCUUGUCCUCUGCAUAUUCUAUGGAGAUGGAUGCUCCUUCUGCCCAACACUCUCUUCCGAAGUCAUUUCUUGUGAGAGAAAACCGCAAACCCAGCAUAGCUUUUGCCCUAGGACAGGUCUUUGGCUUCCUUGACACAAGUGCACUGCUAACAUUCUCCCCAGUUUCCCUCCAGGCGUUUGUCCUCAAUCUGCCAGUGUCCCUCAGCAUCUGACCGCCUACCUGUGCAGGAUGCAGCCGGCAGGAUUCCCCUUGAAGCUCCGAUUCUUCCCUACAUCUCUGUUCUUUGAUGUUCGGCAGCAUCGCCCUUCCUGUUAACACUCUUAUCAGAGCCCACAGCUGCUCUCCCCUGCUGUUGGCACGGGGAGGGGAGGCAGUUCUGCACUGCAGUCAGAUGGGCUUCGGUGUGGGUGGUAGGAGCAGAGAGAUGAGGAAGGAAAGUGUGGGGAGAGGGCCUGGAGGAACGAAUGUUCUUGUUACCUGUCCUUGCACCAGCCUCAGAGGGAAAGGAAGCCUUGUUCCCACCAGGGGCCAUACCAGCAUCCAUCCUCUGCAGCAGUGCUGUCCAUUGUAGGUUUGGGUAGAGGUAGGCGCUGAUCCUGGGUCCAUCCCCAGGUGGCAGGUGAGACCAGUGGCUCAGGAGCUCCCUGCAGGUGGUUCAGUGCCUCCUCGCAUGGUGCCGGCUGUACCUUGUGCUGCCAGCUUCAUAGAUUUUAAGGCCUGAAGUGGCUGUUCAGCUGUCCGGGGGCCCUGUGUAGCUCCAAGUGAGAAAUGCCAUUAUCUUCUUUAGCCUGUAAUGAACUCAGUAUCUCUCAGCUGAUGUAUUUUCCAUGACAGGAUGGAGGAUGCUAGGAGGCAGAGCAGAUGGCACUUCCCUGGUAGCGUGGCCCAGUGCCGUGUUUCUUAUUUGCACUUGCUUGACUACAGGCUCCAUCCUCUUUUCUUCACAAAGUUAAAGAGCUCUUUCACACCAAGUAUUUUCUCUCUGUGAAGUGCUUACAAUCAAAUCACCUCUCAGUCUCCCUUUUUGGUGAGAUAACAGACUGAACUCUUUCAUUCCGUCUCUGGCAAGUGUUUUCUCCAGCCUCCAAAUCACAUUUGUCAUUCUUCUGUACAUCCUACAUUAUCUUAUGUAUUUUUUUUUUUUCAAAUCCCUUUAGAAAUGUGGGCACCAGAACGGAUCGUCAGCGCCAUCCCACUCAUCGCAACCAUCCACAUCUCUGAGCUUGCUGCCACUGCUUUCCCCACUGAGAGCAUGUGCAGGAGACAGGGAGUGCUGUGUGUAAAGCAAAAAGGACUCUGUGGUCCCGUGAAUGGCUGAUUUCCCCUCAACUUAUUAUUAACCCAAGUGGGUCAGUCUCAUUGUCAUUGCCCACUGGGGUUGGAAGCCGUCUUGGAAGGGGCUGCCCCACCAGGCUGGCAGGUCCUGGAGGAUAAGAGAACAAAGAGCAGUGAGUUAUUGCUAGGAAUUGCAUUACUGUUCACAUCAUUGGUUCAUGACCCCUAGUUGCCUUCCCCACAGCCACAUCUUCCAUGGAAAAGCAAGCAAAGGGAGGCUUUAAACAGAAAAGAGGAGGAGGAGGCACCUGACCAGAAAAGGGCACAGAAAACAAGGGAUGGGAAUGGUGAGAGAUGCAGCUGGAGGGCAUGAAUGCAAGAACUCAUUCUGUCUGGCACUGAAAGGGCUUUGGUGGGACACAGAACUGUCCUACAAGACCCCCCCUUUAGCAUAAGUAUCCCUGCUACCUUAAUUGCUCUUAAACUUCUCAGCCUUGCAGGACUGGGUGAUUGCUUUAUCAGAGCUGCUUGCAUUAACAGGCAGUAAUGGGCACCUGUGCUAAGGAGCCUUUUUAUGAUUACUGCUGAAUGCAGAUCAAACUCUCCACAGCUGGGAGAUUACGUGGGGGAGGAGUGGUAAUGCUCAUGUUUACCCUGUCUUUCCAGCAGGUGCUCCUCUUCCCUCAGGGCUGAAGCAUUUUUGGUGUUUGUUUCUUGUGCCUUAAAUCUGCAGUAGCACCAGCCAGGGCUCCAUGGGAAGCAUAGCUGUGUGCUUCUCUGGAGCAUAGAGAACAAGCGCAGCUCACGCAGUGCUCAUCUCUGUUCUUUGUCACGUGGGUGUUUCGUACAGAAGCUUCUGCUAAAAAUCUUACCUUGACUAGUGAAGGCAUGAGAGGGAUUUGGUCCUUGGUUGUUCCCUUAGCCCUAUGCAUCACCAGCUGUGGGGGCUCUCCCCCUGGCAUACAGCUCCCUUGGCUCCUGCUGCAUCAGCACUCCCUGUGCACUGGGCCCAGCCCCCUUCUGUUGCCAUUUGUCAUUUCUGAUCCAAUAAAUAACAGUACAGUGAGGGACUGAUUUAGAUUGUGGGUAGGAGCCCUAGGCUGUGUGAUGGAAGCACAGAGAGUUGGCUGCGAGCACCUGGGGGUAAACUGUGCUGGCAUCUCAGGAGUGCAGCAGCCUGGUGGAUCCCAGGUGGUGAGGAGGAGUCCUGCUCCAUGGGGGAAGCAAGGCCUUUGUAGGCUUCACUACAGGACUCCUGUCCCACAGUUCUGUCUGAGAACCAAACCUUGAGCAGUAACAAAUUGACCUCAGCUGCGUUGCUCACCCUUUGCUCUGUCUCUGCAGGGUGCAGUGCUCUGGAAGAAGCCCAUGAGAGGCCCCCAUGACUGCUCCAGGGGACUGCAGCAGCUGUCCUACUGCCACCUACAUCCAGUGCUCACAGAAGUGGCAGGAGUGGGUGCAGAAGGAGUUAAAACAGUGCUGGGAAAAUUGGUAUUUAAUCCAGCACUGUCCCUUCUAGCAAACCUAGAUGGGAAAAUGCCUCCCUGUUGGAAACGGUGCCUCUCAGAAAUGGAAAUGCAGGAUGGCUGGGGAUUAGGGUGCCUAUCGCUGGAAAUGGGUUUCUUAUCGUCUCUCUGUGUUGAAAUGGUGGGACAGCCUCUGAAAAUUGAAUUGCUUUCCCUGUUUCUGCCUCUGCCAUUGCAUCCCUCCUGUGCUGUGGCUUUGCACUUGCUUUCCUGCCUCUGGUCUCUCUUGUCCCAGUGCUCAGCAACGUCAGCAAGGAAUUCAUGUCUGUGGAGAGGGAUGGUGCUGCAGCGGGCUGUGGGCAGGGCUGGCUGCAUUGGGAGGGCUUCAUUCAUGGGACUCCCAAGGUCAGGAUGCAGACCCUCUUUCCAAGCUUCCUUCCAACCCGGCAAGGACAGCAGAGGCAGAGCCUGAUAUGGGGCAGCACACAAGGAGGCUUGGAAUGAUCAGAGGACAUCGGGCACAACUGGAAAGGAGGGACUAAUGGUGAGGAGCUGGGGGAGAAACCAGUCUGAAUGUGCAGCACGAAAGAGACUGAAUUCUCGUGAGACAAGAAGCAGCCUUGAUCCCAGGGCUUUGCUGUGGUAUGUAGGGGUGUAGCAUCCCACAUCUCUGGCUGUGACUGCAGUGGCCAUUCCUCCUCUUUCCUCCUUGCAGCUUGUCUUCGUAGUGUGAAACACAUGUGUCCACAAGCAACGGUCAGUCUUUACACAGCUCUGUGAUGCUCUCAGGCAAACCCACACAGCACGGCUGUUGAGCACACCAACCUGCAGCCUUGGUGCUGCACCUGGGUUUGCUCACUGCCCUUAUAUCUUUCUCUGCCACCUGUGGAGCUUGCAAAGAAAAAAUGAUGGAGCAGACAUUAUGGGAGCCAGCACAGAGCUGUCCCUAUGUCAGCUGUAGAUACUGAGGGUCACCCAGCUGGGCUGUGCCUGGCCUGGAUGUGCAUUUUGUCACCUGGGGCUCUCACAGCCCCUUGGGUGUGGUCAUGUGUUGAACAACUAUUAAAACAACUUCUGUUUCAUUUUGGGCUAAAGCUGAUAAAUCAAGGUGACUUUGGGGAGAGAAAUAAUUCCUUUCCUCGGAUUUGCAUAAUCCUGGCUGGUGAUAUGAUAAUGGUGUUUGUUAAAGACAGGACACAAUAAAUUAAUACUGUUAAGUUGUUGCUGCAAACUACAAAGCAGGUAAUUUACUCUGGGUGCAAAGGAGAGAGUGAGUGCUGCAGGCAUGGCCAUGGCCUCUGUCCUCAGCUUUCACCACAUGCACCUGGGUUCAGCUGAUGUGAUGCUGCAGGACAAGUGAGGAAGGGCUGGUGUGAUGCAGAGGUAGGGAGAGGUGCUCAGUAGGGGUGCACUGGAGCCUCACUCAUUCCCUGGGCUGCUGCUGCAGCUCCAGAGCCAUCCUUGCAUGUCAUAUCCCACUGGAAUCCUAAUGCACCAUUUAUCUCUGCAGCUUCACAGCUCUAUUAGAAGGAAGAUGCUGUGUGGGAGCCAGAGCAGGGUUUCGAGCUAAUUGGAUUCUGUGUCUCCGUGGUUUCCCAUGUAGGCAGGCAACAGGGAUUAGUGCAGUGUUUCUGAGGAACAGAGGAGAGUUGAGGAUGACCUGUAUGGGGAUUUCCUCCUGCAUAACCCCUGCUGCUAGCAAAGGACUUUUAAAACAGGCUGUUGAGGUGGAAUGGCUGGGAGCAGCAUGUCCUUAAUCUUUGGUAGAGUUGCUGCCUGAAUUUCAUGUUCUCUUCCUAAUUCUUUGAGCCAGGUGCCAUUCACUUUCCAGGGACUAAACCAGCUCAACCAGCCUCCAAGCACAAACAAGCCUGGCACUGUUCUGGUCUCUCCUGCGAACCCCUUUGUAGGGGAAACCAGAUGGAAAUGAAACUGUUGGUGUCUCCUGAGCACAACUAACCACCUGCCUGAGUUACUCCCUUUUGCCUCCCUGCUCCCCUUCCCAAGCCUAGCUGCUGUCUGGAAGCAGUGCACAUCAGAUAUCCAUCCUCCCUGAGUUCCUAGUCUGCCAGUGUAGGAACAGAAUUCUCCUCAUUAACAUAGAUUUAUUCCUGUAUCAACAUUUCAUUGCUUUAAUUGCAAACCAGUCAUACUGCAGGCAGUGGUGGCAAUGCCUUCAUUUACACUAAGCAUUGGAGACAGCAGAGUACAUAUGGCACAUGGCUGAUUGCAUACAGGUAGGACGUGCCACGGUGUCUGCGUGCAGAAGUGUGUGCUGUGCAAUGCAGUGGCAGCUGGUCUGGGUAAGUGACCCUUCUUCCUGGCAAUAGUGAGGCCCUGGGGCCCCAUUCAGCUGAGCACCAGUGCAGGAGGAUGCACCCAGGCAACGGUCUGCUGAUCUGACAGCUCUGUAGGUGCAGAGAGGUACCGGUUCUUGACAGCCUGCUGCUGCAUUUCAUGCUCUCUGCUCUCCCACAUUCUCACCCAAACGUUAAUUUUACGGAUGCCUUUAUAAAUCUCGCCGUUUUCUCCUGUUCAUGGGCUUCAUAGAUUUCAUCAUGCUGAGAGAUGGCACUUCUGGCCUCUGGUACCAAGCUAUCAAUUUAAUACUCUGAGUGUAAUAAAAAACAUGGGACGAUAUUAACUCACAAUUACUCUGCUGCUCCUUGCUGUAACUCGUUCUAUUCCAUCUGAAAGCUUGGGAUGCAGAGUAUGUGCAUCAGCUGCUGGCAGAGCCACAGGCUCAGGGCAGCCAGUGCCUCCCAGCUUGGAUCUACUCAUUUCCCAAACUAUGAGCUGUUCUUCUGCUUGCCAAGAAUACAGAGGUGUCCGUCUGUACCUCUGUCAGACCAGACCAUGUGGAUGCUGAGAUUGCUGCCUUCUAGAGAGCGCUUUUCCAGGUCUGUUGAGUAAAUAUAGACCUGGAAGUCAUUUUUUUCUAUUCUGUUCCCCUGCUAUUUCAUGAAGUCGGGACAUUUCUCAUACAGAAGGCUCCCCCAGCAGCCCAGCCGCAGGGUGUAGCGAGCGCCCAGGUCCCAGUUGACCUAUCACUCAAAGAGCAACAGCAGAUGGAUGUGAAAAGCCUUUAAAUUCAGCACAUGAUCAAUGCUAAACCGAUCUCCCGGAGUCCUUUAUAAGAUUGCCCCAGCUUCAUGCAUCCAAUUGUAACGAAAAAAUCACUCGGCACACAGGGGAGAUGUGAGAAACGCUGUAGAUCCCAUUUAGGAUGCAAAGAGCCAGAGUAAGUAACUUCACAUUGUUUCUUGCCGUAAAUAAUUUAUCCAGCUUACAUUUUGGUUUAUUGCCCCUGCCCCCCUCAGCUCUAUUCUACCGGUUUCCUUCUUUUGUCCUGAAAUUCCCUCGCUGGGUCACUUCUGUCACUAUGAUUCCCUACCACGCACGUGUGUGUGCUUGUGCACGCACAGUGGCACGACUGACCCAGUUCAGCUUCUGCUGGUUGUGGUUUAUCAGGGCCGGCAAUGCUGGGGCAGGGAUGCUGCCUUUUCACCCAGCUUCCUCACCUCGGGCUCUUCCCCAGCACAGCUUUUACACGGUGUCAGGAUGCGUUAAUGAAAACGUUUGGAAUGCGUUAGCAAUGCUAAUAGUAUUGCUGUACUAAUUAGGAAUGCCAUUUGAACGAACUCUCGCUUAACGAUACAAAUUACCAGCCAGCCAGGCGCAGAGCGAGGGCUGCAGCUGCUGCAUGGAGAGCAGCGAUUACGGGGUGUGAAGUUCUGGCACCGGGCCUGGCAGCAGAAUGAGGCCCUGGGCUUCUCUGUGCUGUCAGAACCAGGAGGAACCCUGCAGCAAGUGCUCUGCAUCUGGGCUGGGGUGCAUGGUGGGCUCUGCCCUGAUUGCACAGCCUUCCUGGUGCAAGCUCUGGUGGUACCACUGAGCCAGAUGACCUGUGUGUCAAUGCAAGUUGCUACAGCUGCAGAAAGAACAGGUUGAUGUGUGUCCCCGCCAUGGGAAGGAGCUUGUCUGGCCCUGUUGUACUGCAGUUCUGAAGCCCUUGGCAGCACGCUGGCUCUGGGGCAUCCUGCUUCCUGGAAGCUUGGUGGAAAGGGCUGAUUUACAAACAGACAGGUGUUCCCAGAGCUGAAAACUAGUUGGGAAGAGCAAUGCCUGCAUACCCAUCCCCAGCCUGCUCCUGGUUAUUGCUCCUGGCUGCUCUGAAGACAUGAUACAGAUUGAAAAGACUCUCCCAAUGGAAACCAUUUGGUGCCUGAGGAAACCAGAGCCCUGCAGAUACCUUCCAGGGAGUGGCUUUGUUGGGACAGGUGGAUGCUGUUAAGUAUCCAACCCCACCUUUGGUUCUGUUCACCUCUGGUUGCUGUGAAGGGCAGGAGAGUUGAGAUCAGAGAGUGUGGCCUGUUUGUCCGACCCAAAUGGCACCUUCAGGAGCAGAUCUUCAGACCUUGUGCAACCCUCUCUAUUGGCUGUUCUGCUGCUCCUUCCAGCCAGGCAGCAGGUGACCUUUAGGAGAGAAAUGAUCCCAGCAUCAAUGUGAUAUUUUGCAUGCUGUCCCCUUGGGAAUCGGUAAGUAUUUAUAGGCCAAAUCUGAGUUAUUCUAAUCCUUUGUUUUGUGAUGUGCUGGCAAGGUGUCACCAUCUGGAGGUCAGGGGCUGCUCUGGGUAUUUUGAAUCCAGACCAGAAUGCCUGUAACGCCUGUGGGGCUCUUACUGGGCCUUGGUCCAACCAGAGCUGAUACUAACGGGGUGCAGAGCGCUGCACAGCACAGCCCUGCAGGUGAGAGCUGUAGCACUCGGCUCCUCUGCAGCCACUCUCAAGGCUCUGACUUUGCUUUCUAUUCAAGGAAACAUCCUGGCUUGACCCCCAUGCUCUUCCUGUGGGAUCAGACAUGCUGUGCCUAUGGGCUCUCUGCUGGCAGACCCUCUGUGGCAGCAGCCAGUGGUCCGGGGCCGCGUCAGGCAGCGUUGACAGCCCUGGUGUGAAAUAAGAUGAAUGGGCUGAAGUUGGUGAAAAUGAUUCUAAUUUAUAAUCUGCUGCUUUGUGGAGCUCCCCAAUUAAUUCUCUGUAGAUACAUAAGUAGGCCACAUGUUUGCUUUGCUUCAAGUGUAAUAAACAUUACGCUCUGUCCUCUGCUUUUGGUGCUGGUUCCUGUCAGAGCGUUAGUCCCUAUAGCUAAUUUCUCACACCUGUCUCCCAGGCUCCUGGGAGCUGGGCUGAGCACGGGGAGGAAACGCCAGGCUGCAGGAAACUUGUGGCAUGGAGAGAUAAAUUGCUGAUCAAAGGGCUAGCGCACAGUGCCUCUGAAUAUUUAGUUGCAGGCGAGGCAGCCAAACCCACUCAGGAAAGAGCUUUGUUCUUGAAGAGCUGUUUGCCUGGUUCUGCUCUGCAGCAGUGAGCAGCUGGGGUGUGAUGGGGUGGUGGGAUCAGCGCUACCUCGGAGCCAAGCAAAGAAAUGGAUACUGGGGUGUGAUGGCAGUAAGGGGCUGUACUCAGCUCUUGACAGGGAAGAGGUGGGAAGGGUUCCAGAAGGUAGGGUGGGAUAUUCCUCCAUCUAGAUGGUAAGAGUGCUCAGGUGGAGGCAGUAAGUUCUGAUGAAGAGACAAGCACAAAAUGUUGCUGGAUGCACGACCUUCCUGCUUGCUCUGAUCUUUCUAGAUCUCUGGGUAGCCAGAGACCUUCUCCAGACCUUCAUCUUCAUUCCAUACCCAGCAAAAAAACCAUCACAAUUGCUUGCUUGCAUCAGUUUGCUCAGCACCCUGACCUUGCUCUGGUGCUCUGUGGGUUCAUUGGGUGAGGAAGCGCAGAGCUGCUUUGCUUGCUGAGAUGCCCUUGAGAAGGGGUGAACAAACUGGAAUUGCCACACUGCCCACAGGUGCCAGUGGGCACUCACUGGUGCUCAUACAUAGAGCUCAGUCUGGGUCAGGAUCCAGAGCCCUGGAGAUGGAGAGCUAAAGCACUACAGCAAGAGGAUGCACAAAGCUCUUGAGACUCUAUGCCACUGGCUGAAGGCAUUUCUGUAUGGCCCAGGGCACGGUGCCCUCAGGUGCCUGCUGCUCACCCUGUCCCCAGCAGCCAGCUCCUGGCAGCAGCAGAGUAUGUUUCCAGCCCUGAGAUGGAGUGUUUCUCUCUCAUCAGUCCAGUUUGGUUCAGGGAUGAUGGAGCACUCACAGCAGGAGUGGGCUGAGGCUGCUGGGCAGCCAAGCUGCUGGAGCAUGACUUUUUAAAUGCUUUCCAUUACAGCUCUCUGAAGCUUGUGUCUCUCCGGAGCUGCUUUCUGCACAGCAGGGGGAUGGAACUAGGUGAUCCUGGAGGUCCCUUCCAACCCGAGCUGUGCUGUGAUUCUAUGGUCUCAGCAAACAGGAGCUUUCAGAGUACGCUGCUGCAAGAGCAGCUCUGGGCUCCUUGAAUGUGUCCCUGGGAAGAGCUGCUCUGCACCUUGCUUUGGGGAUCCCCAGCACCUCUGGAGAGGCUGCGCUGGGGUUCUGGCAGUGGGGAGGGAGAGGGCAGUUUCCUUUGGAACAGGACUAUGCUUUUCAGCCUUUCUUAGCCCAGCUCUGCUCCCUCUAUACCUGUCUUUGGCUCUUUCCUUACCACAACAUCACAGAGAGAAGACAAGGGACUGCAAGGAGUCAGAAGAGGCAUCAGAGCUGGUCAUCCAGGCUCACCAAGCCCAGGACCUCCCUCAGCCCCAGGUUCCCUCAUCUUUGUACUACCUGCUCGUGCUCAGAGAGCUGCCAGCAUGCAGAGAGCACCUGAACUGGAUCCUCUCUGAGCUGCUGCCAGCUCCAAGGGAUUACAAGUGAAUAAUUCAGGUUCGAUGCUGUUUGAAGUUUCAGGGAAGGAAGUGGCAUGUGAAGCCUGUUCCCCACACCUGUCCCAGGGCCACGCUGCUCCAAAGGCAAUCACAAGAACACCCUGAGGAGCCACACUGAACAUUUCUGUGUGGAUGUUGCCUUCCCAGCUCCUGGCAGCCUGGACUGAGGCUGUUUGUACAGGCUGCAGCUCUGCACAGGGGCAGCUCCCCAGCACUAGAGGAUUGCUGCAAGGCUUGAGAGUGCUGUGGAAUGAAGCACAGCAUCCUGCUUGUCCAGGAGGGGUUAAAUGCCAGACUACUGUGUCUGUUCCAGCUGCAUUGAAGCAUGGAGAAGAAGGCAAUGGACAAACAUGACCUGCUGUAAACAAAUUUACAACUGAACAUAAAUCAAAAGCUGAAUUGCCAUCAGAAGCUGGGUGUUCUUCCGUGACAAAGAUGGUGGGAGCCACAUCCACGGGCACUCGUGUUUGGCAGCUGGUUCUCAGAUGGCCUUCAGAGAGGUUUCCAUAAGCAGAAGUCUGUGUUAAGACAGGGAAAGGGAUGGGUAGCACAAAGCUUUGCUUAGAAUCUCAGAAAGGCUCCUAGGGAUCUUUGGAGGGAUGGUGAUGAUCACAGAGGGACUAUACUUUGUCUCAAGGGGUCCCUGUUGCUAGGAAAUGCCUCUGGGAGCGUGUCCUAGAUGAGGCAGUGCUUUCCUACCCCACUGCACCACUGCUCAGACACUGCUCUUUUCAAACAGCACUCAUGGAUCGCCUGUCACCAUUGAAACUGCUAUGGCACUGGUGGCAGAGCCAGGAGCAAGGAGGCAAUGGGAGCUGCUGUCCAGCCAGUGGCUUCAUGCUGCUCUGGGAGAUCACUUGGUGUGCAUUCCUCUGCUGCUGAACUUCAGUGGGAAGGGCUGAGUUUGGGUUUGCUGCUGCAGGCUACAAGAGGCACCUGUGAUCCUCAGGCUGUUGGCUGCAGUUGUGGCUGGAGGAGGAAGAGGUUUGCAGUGCACUGAGGGAUGGAGAGCACAGAGCGUUUGUCCGAGGUGUUCAUCUUUGCUGAGCACAGAGCACAUCUCUGCUCAGCUCUCCAACCCCUCGGGGUCAGGAAGCAGAGCUGACUUCCUUCACUGCAUCCCAGGGAUGUGUGCUCCCAUCAGUGCUCUCCACAACCCGUGUUUGCACAACGCCAGGUGUUGCUGCUUCUUGAGACGAGGGACACAGAAAGAUAGGCUGGGAAAUUAUUUUUAACCUCCUGCAAUUUACUGUUCAGAAAGAUGUCACAUUUGUCAGGGCUGGUUCAUAGCAGCCGCAGUGGAGGCAAUCUUUCCCUCAUAGAUACACUUCUUUUUGUAAGGUGGCUCUCACAAAAUGUAAGUAUGAUCUUUGAUGGCUUCUGAGAGCUCUUGGAAGAACUAACAAGCAUAUCACAGGGUCCAGCAUUAAACCCUUCCCUGCAGGGGUGCAGUUGAGAAUGGAAACUAUCAGGCAGUUUGAGAUCCAUUUAACAGCAAUUAGUGUGGAUGAAAGAAACGCUAACGUGAAAGUGCCAGUCUGUGUGCAUAGGGUCAGAGGAGGAGAAAAACAUGGAAGGGAAAAUAUAAACGUGACAAAAUGUGGUUAUGUAGCCCAUGAAACAACGACUCCUUUUAAGUUUUUUUCAUGCCAGCAGAAGCCAAUCAGUCUGCAACAUGAUUGAAGACCUGCAGUAAAACCACAGAGCUGACGGGAUUGGAAUUCUGUGUGUGGUAUGAAAGGAAAGGCAAGCGUCCAAUGAACGAGAGCCAGAAGCUGCAGCAGCAGAAGCCUGGAUGAGAGGACCAUGCUUUGGCAAGGAGAAAUCACCUCUGGUAAGAGAUACGGAGCAGGUACAGAAAGCAGGAAUAUUACCCAGGAAAAUCCCAGGUCAUGGCAAAUGUGGCCCUGAAGUACAACCUGAAAUAUGUGACUUGGAAUGUGUUCUUUGAGGCUGCGUCUCAUGGAGGACUCUGUGGGUAAAAGCAUAUUGUGGACUUUAUGCUGUGAAGUGGUGAAUGAAAUGCAGAGGUGAGGUUGGCUUCAGGGGGGCACGGGGGGGAGGUUGGUAGGAUGACAGCCCUGGAAAAAGGAAAAGGAAGGAAUACACAGCAGAUAAACUUCAUUCCAUGGGCAAAGGGCACUCUGGGCUACACUUCAGUGUGUUCUAAAAGUACCUACGCUGCUAGGUCCUACGCUUGGGAAAUAAGAGGGAAGACACAUAUUUGCCAUUUGGAAAUACUGACGUUUGUUACAAGGUUAGUGUUAUUCCCUGGAUCCUGGUAACUGAGUGAGCUCGACGUGGUGCACUUGUGCUGUGCCUUUGGGGAGGCUUGAGUUCCUGCAGCUGUACACACUCAUUCAAAAUGAUACACAGGGAAACCUGCUCGCUGAGACAGAAGAACAACACGUGGCACAAGGAAAGUGUAUUUCAAUGGGAACUCUAUGAGUGGGGCUGUAGGAAGCAGGGGAUUCACCGGGCUCACACAGACGUGUGUUAAAAGAUGGUGGAUCUGGUGGUGAUUGCUGAGCAGGGUUUGCAUAGGAGGGGACUGGGCAUGGGGAAGGAUGGACUCUUGUGCUGUACCUCCAGAUGCAGGCACUGGACAGGGCUCCUUCACCAGCAGUGCUGGGGCUUUGCUGCUCCCUCCCAGCCGUGUUAUUUAUCAGAGUAAUGAGUUCAGCCAUUACAACACCGACAUACUCCAAAAGUGGUCACAUUGCUGUGCCUUGCUGGGAUAUGAGUCCAAAGACCAUCCUAGUAUCAGAAAUAAACUACUGCUAUUUUCCAACUUA